UGGCGAACGGGUGAGUAACACGUGGGUGAUCUGCCCUGCACUCUGGGAUAAGCCUGGGAAACUGGGUCUAAUACCGUAUAGGACCAUGCUUUAGUGUGUGUGGUGGAAAGUUUUUUCGGUGUAGGAUGAGCCCGCGGCCUAUCAGCUUGUUGGUGGGGUAAUGGCCUACCAAGGCGGCGACGGGUAGCCGGACUGAGAGGUUGGUCGGCCACAUUGGGACUGAGAUACGGCCCAG
rnacentral:rRNA from 1 species